rnacentral:misc_RNA from 1 species
GUUUAAAAUGCCGGCAGAUACACUUAAGAAUCCCAGAGAGGGUGGCCAGGUGUAGCAGCUGAGGAAAUGAACCAUCAGGUGAAGAAGAAUGGAUAAUGGGAAGAGUUGAGACCUUGUUUUGCAGAAAUCUUAAAGCAAGAUCCUUCAAUGAGUCAUAAGGCCCACCAUGGACAAGACUUCUUGAAUACGAAUUCAAGUUACAGUCGAUUUGCCUGUUGAUGCGUAACUUUCCCCCUUUCCAAGCAGAUAUAGAGUGUGUCUCGAGC